GACGAACGCUGGCGGCGUGCUUAACACAUGCAAGUCGAACGGUGAAGCGCCUUCCUUUUUGGUGGGUGUGGAUGAGUGGCGAACGGGUGAGUAACACGUGAGUAACCUGCCCCCUUCUUCUGGAUAACCGCAUGAAAGUGUGGCUAAUACGGGAUAUUCUGGGUCUGUCGCAUGAUGGGUCUGGGAAAGAUAUUGUUUCGGUGGGGGAUGGGCUCGCGGCCUAUCAGCUUGUUGGUGGGGUGAUGGCCUACCAAGGCGGUGACGGGUAGCCGGCCUGAGAGGGUGGACGGUCACACUGGGACUGAGACACGGCCCCGACUCCUACGGGAGGCAGCAGUGGGGAAUAUUGCACAAUGGGCGCCAGCCUGAUGCAGCGCCGCCGCGUGAGGGAUGGAGGCCUUCGGGUUGUGAACCUCUUUCGCCAGUGAAGCAGGCCUGCCUCGUUUGUGGGUGGGUUGACGGUAGCUGGAUAAGAAGCGCCGGCUAACUACGUG
rnacentral:rRNA from 1 species